rnacentral:rRNA from 1 species
AAUGGCCGAAAGGCUGACGCAGCGACGCCGCGUGGGCGAUGAAGGUCUUCGGGUCGUAAAGCCCUGUGGGGUGGGACGAACCGGUGUCGGGUUAAUACCCCGGCGCCCUGACGGUACCGCCUUAGCAAGCACCGGCUAACUCUGUGCCAGCAGCCGCGGUAAGACAGAGGGUGCAAACGUUGCUCGGAUUUACUGGGCGUAAAGCGCGNGUAGGCGGCNACCAAAGUCGGGUGGGAAAGCCCAGGGCUCAACCCUGGAACUGCGCCUGAGACUGGGUGGCUGGAGUACUGAAGAGGAGCGCGGAAUUCCCGGUGUAGAGGUGAAAUUCGUAGAUAUCGGGAGGAACACCAGCGGCGAAGGCGGCGCUCUGGGCAGUUACUGACGCUGAGACGCGAAGGCGUGGGGAGCAAA